GUAGGCGACAGCCGCAACACUUUAAUUGUUAUUCCAGAGAAAAGUUUCCGGCACUCGGCGAAAACGCAGAUUCAGCCAUCCUCAGAUACGUUCCCGUCUAGAGAAGCUGAUGGGCUCCAAUACAGUAAGCCUGACCGACAGAAAGUACAUGCAACGGUUACAAGAACGUAUCCUGGAGGACUAUGCGGAAUCUAUGGACAAAAGAAUUAGAAUCAGAGAGGU